rnacentral:lncRNA from 1 species
AGAACAGUGAAAUGCGGUGACGCGGGGAAAAGGAGCUCAAAGGGGCGUGGAGAUGGAAAACACAGACGGACAUGUUGUUCUUCUUUGUUUUUGUAUGCCGAUCGGAUGAAGACUUAUUGGAUAUGACAGCGCAGGUGGAGGGGAAAAAUACAGACAGUCAGGAGGGCUUUUGUAAAUCACCGCGGGCUGAGGAGAAAAGAUUUCACAUUAACAGAGGCCCUCAACCCCCACAUCACAUCUCUGCCAGAGCAGCAUUCAUUUUAAACCAUAACUUUCCAAACGGACACAGAUCUGUGGCACUGAGCCUCUAUCUUCUCAUCCCUCGCCUCAUAUGAAUUGCUUUGAAAAUUGGAUUUUCCUUUAUUCUUUCAAUGGGAUCCUCCUGACUGGAGGAUAAUAGAGUAUCUUCAUGAGUCUUCUGGGCAUCGUUGAGGUAAUCACACAUCAUACCACUCCUCUCUUAUCCCUCCACCCUUCCCUUCACAUUGAUAACAGCCUUUCUUGCAUCCAGCUCCUGUGUGUCAAGUCCAUCGCAUCUGAUUGUUUCGCUGUUGGAAAAUCUAAUAAGCGUUUAGUCUGUUUGUAAAUUGUCCUGUGACAGAGCGCUUAAUGACUUGGAGCUAUUUACACGUAGACGUCAGCUUCAGCAUGUGGGCCAAUUCAUCAUCUGCCACACUGCCAUUUCCAUGGACUGCCCGGCCGCUGCGGUUGAACUCAUUAUAAUGCUAAUGUUAUGGACUGUGAUUGGAUUUUCUGCUUCUCACAAACAGAAACAGUGUACUGCUGUAAUGCUGCUCAGCUUAAAAGCCAAAACACCUUUGAUGGAGGAUGAACGCUGCCGAUCCAAGCUGCCCCUCAUGUGCUUGACAAGACUAAAGACACUGCUCAGCCAUGAGCGAAGCAGUUUCAGCAUCCCUCUCUGCCGCGGGCUAAUUGGCUGAUUGACCUAUAGUCACCUCUGAUGUCUCUUUCACAUUUAGUGUGACAGAGACAUCAGAGGCAGGGAUAAAAAAAUUGUACUGAUUCUUUACUUCUCCUUUAACUUGUGCAAAACACAGCAGCUAGGGUUAUCACAACUCAAAAAUAUGACCACAUUUCACCCAUUCUCGUCUCAUUGCACUGGUUACCCAUAGUUCUUAGAAUGGAUUUUAUGACUUGUUUUUAAUUCACUGAAUGGCCUUGCACUGCAUUGAUUAGCAGACCCUCUCAUCUCUUAUGCCCCUGCUCGUCCUUGUUGUUCCGUUUCUAUCCGUUGCUCUCAGGACUUGAGACAGAGGGAGGUAGGUCUUUCACUGUGGGGGCUCCACAACUGUGGAACGACCUCCACCUACAGUUGCCUCUUUUAAAACUCUUAAAAAUGCAUUUCGAUAAAAUGGCUUUCCGACUAAACGUCUUGCAUUACCUUGUUUAAAAUUGUAAUUCCAUUGUGUUUAUUUUCUGUUUUUUAUGUCUGUGAAGCACUUUGUGAAACCUGUUUUUUUAAAAGUUCUAUAUAAAUACAGCACAGUAACAUGAUAUUAUUAUCUCUCCUGUACACGAGAAGUCUUUCAAACUUCAUACAACCAGUUUCUAACCAAUUAUCAUUUUAUAAGGUUUAUCUCCUGCAAAGCUGCAAAAAAUAUUAUUGUCUUUAGUUUCCCUGUUUAGUAGUGAGAUUUGUUAGGUCAUACGAUAUGACUCGAAAUCAGUAAGGCACCCCACAGUUUACAGUAGAUGAAGAUUGUUUUUGAUGAAUGUUGCAAGUGAUCAGUUAUAUUUAAUAUUGCACAAGAACCCCCUCCCAUGAAGGCUGCCAUAUGUCCAGUAAAACGUUAUCUAUGAAAAAAUCUCCAUACUGAGCUGUGAGAAAUGAAACAGCCAGCAAUUCAAGCGUGGAAGGACAGUGUUAAAGUCUUACAACUGAAGUAAUUAUGAUGGGAAAUAGAAGAAGAAGAGCCUGAAGGCCCUUAAAUGCCACAGUUGAUUUAAUAAAAACAAAUGUAUUUAAUUUGAUUAUUUUUAAUUUGAUUUCACUGCCAUGGUCAUGAUGAUGUGAUUUACGGUAGAGCUUCUAGGCCCACAAGGUUUGGGAAUAUGGAUUGCAUUAUGCCAGUAAGGGUCCUUAUAAGUAUGGCGAUACGUAUGUAUGUGAGUGAGACCACACACCGGAAAUGAACUGCAGUCUGAUGAUGACAAAGUGGAGAGCAGAAAUACACUCCUCUGCAAAAUCAGAUCACCGAGGCAUUAGAGGUGAUGUCACAUUUAAAGGGGCGGUGCAGGUAAUGAGGAAGUCCUCACUGAUAUUUCUGAGAUGCUGAUAAUAUUAUGUAAAUAUAUAUCAUACUUUAUUAGUACUGUACAGAAAUUGUGCAAUCGUGUUGACCCUUCUCGGCCACCGUAGUAUUAUGUGCAGAUUGAUGUUUUACAAAGACAAUACAACAGCAAAAUGUCUCAUAUAUAUAUAUAUAUUUGAAUUUUGUCAUGUUGACUCUCCUACAGUAACAUUUUGCAGGUGGCAACACAAUUUC